rnacentral:lncRNA from 1 species
AAAGUUUCACGAUGUGAUUCAUAUUUGUGGUUUUCAAUGGGGUCUUUGGUGAUAGCGGCCCACUACUGAUCCCGAUGGGAUGCGGGACUUCGCUCCUGCGGUAUGAACUUUUAGUUUUUGUGGCCUAGGAUCUAUUUGUACACACAUACUAUACAAGUGCAAUUAAUGGGUCAGUUUUGGAUAUUCAGAAAUUACUUCAUUUUCUACCUUGUACUGCUCUCCUUUCAUAGUGAAAUUCUUCUGCCUCUGCCCGUAAUUUUUUUCCGCAAGAAUUUUUAC